GAUGAAGAACGCAGCGAAACGCGAUAGUUAAUGUGAAUUGCAGAAUUCAGUGAAUCAUCGAGUCUUUGAACGCACAUUGCGCCCCCUGGUAUUCCGGGGGGCAUGCCUGUCCGAGCGUCAUUGCUGCCCAUCAAGCGCGGCUUGUGUGUUGGGCCGCCGUCCGCCUUCCCCCCCGGGGGGAGGGGGACGGGCCCGAAAGGCAGCGGCGGCACCGCGUCCGGUCCUCGAGCGUAUGGGGCUCUGUCACCCGCUCUGGAGGCCCGGCCGGCGCCCGCCGACCCCCAACCUUCUUCUAACCAGGUUGACCUCGGAUCAGGUAGGGAUACCCGCUGAACUUAAGCAUAUCAAGCGGAGGA
rnacentral:misc_RNA from 1 species